AGCAGACCGGGCAAUCGCGCGCGGGUUUCCGUGUGAGGAAAGUCCGAGCUCCGCAGGGCGAGGAUAACGGCUAACGGCCGCCGAGGGCGACCUCAGGGAAAGUGCAACAGAGAUAUACCGCCGGCAUUUUGCCGGUAAGGGUGGAAAGGCGAGGUAAGAGCUCACCAGCGUGCGGGAGACCGCACGGCUCUGCAAACCCUAUCCGGAGCAACACCGACCGAAGGCGAUACGUCUGCCCGACGUGCCUUUAACAGGUGGCUGGAGCUGCGCGGCAACGCGCAGCCAAGAUAGAUGAUUGUCUAUAACAGAACUCGGCUUACAGGUCUGGUCA
rnacentral:RNase_P_RNA from 1 species